rfam:Schistosoma curassoni strain Dakar, Senegal genome assembly, scaffold: SCTD_contig0010227
GCACUGCUGAGGAGUCUCAGUAUAGGACGAAACGUCCGUACAGUGC